rnacentral:lncRNA from 1 species
UUUUCCCCCAAUGUUGAAGGCCUCAUCCGACUAGACAGGAAAGAAUAUCCUGUAAUGAUUCCUUUUUGCCAGGGUCCUUUGCUCUCAGCAGAACAGUUCGUUUCUGUUUCUUAGGCCUUCCUGUGGAAACCCUACCAUUUCCUGGCAUCGGUGCCCACUGAAAGAACAAGUUCACGUUUGUUCUUCCCCGAGCAGAGAGAAUGUGUGAGCUGAAGUCUUCAGAGGAGGAGUUGAAGCUGUCCCCCAGCCAGGUGUUAGGUGGUUGGAAGGCCCAGAUGGUUUCUUUCGUUCCCCUGUUCGAGAGCAGCUCAUCCCAUACAGGCGCCGUCCUGUUCAGCUCCAGUUCACCAGGAGUCAUUUCCUGUCCUACUUAGUGUCCACUGCCUGCUUGGGCAUUCUUCCUGUGGUUUUGUUUGUUUGAUUCAGCUCUUUAAAAAAAAAAAAAAGUUUUUAGUUAUGUGUAUGUACAUCUAGUACAAGUGCCUAAGGAGGUCAGAGGAGUCCCAUCAUCCCCUGGGAGCUGGGUUAAAGCCUGAUGUGGGUGCUGGGAACUGAACUUGGAUCCUCUUAAGUCUCUCCAGCCCCAGAACUGUGUGUAUGAGAGAGAGAGAGAGAGAGAGAGAGAGAGAGAGAGAGAGAGAGAGAGAGAGUGUCAGAGUCUCAUUGUAUAGAUGAGGCUGAGUGAGGGGGCAGUGGAGGCUGGGGGACAACCUGUGGGACUCUCUUCUCUCCUUCCACCAUUGGCUCCCAAGGGGUUAAGCUCACCUCAUUAGGAUUGACAGCCAGCACUUGUCACCACUGCUCUAUUGCACUGGCCUGGCCCUGAUCUUGAACUUCUGAUCCGUCUGUCUGUCCCAGCCUCCCAGUCCCAAGACUGCACGUGUUAGCCACUAAAUGGUGCAUGAUACAUCUCUAGCAUAGGAAUUACAGUGACAGGUUUAAGAUUCUUUUCAUUGACAGAGUAUAGAAGAAUUUCACACAAGCUCCUGAAGAUUUAAAUCAUUGUCAUUUAUUAACUAGCCUUGCAGGGGGAAACUUCAAUAGAUUUCAAUGCAAUUAGAACAAUAGGCUGGCCUUGAAACCCAAGAUCCUCCCACCUCAGCCUCUGGAGAACCGGCACCACACAGGCUUUCACUUACCGUGAGAAGCCUCCAACUGUGUUCUAAAAACGGAGAGAUCUGUCAGGAUAUGUGGUCCACUUGAGCGUGCUUCAUCACUUUGGAGAAAGCUGGGCGGAUGUCAUUACCUUCACUUCAUGGAUGGGAACUUAGAAAGCUGGACCUGGCGGUGUUUGUCUCUGUCAGUAUCUGUCUAUCAUGCACGGUGCAGAGGCAAGAGAACUGCAGCCCAGGAGUUUAAGCCCAGCCUGGAUAAUAUAGGGAGACUGUCUCGAAACUAAAAACUAA